ensembl:lncRNA
CAUGCACUAUAGAUAUACGUGUACUUUCUUAGGACUGAUAGAAUAUUAUAAAAAUCAGGUUAAACCGGAUUAUAUCUUGUAAAUUAGGUGAGCCACAUUUGCAGUACCUGAAAUUUUAAAUGAGUAAGGCUGUGAAGCCACAGACCUUACUUACUUGAGUUUUCUUUAUGGUUCCAAACCCUUUCUUUGUUGAUUUUUGUUGCUGUAUGCAGUGAAUUAGGGAUGAAGUGGGCUGUGGUCACACACUGUGAAGGUGAGGUUGCUUAAAUCUGUACUAAGCACGACAUAAUCAAGGGUUGUCAGCUAAAUUGGGGGAAAAUAGGGAAGUCAUUUGGGAUUUUCAUUUGAAUACAACUUUUGGUGAAUAUAAAUGACACACAUUGAUACCUACAACUCUUUUCCUCUGACUCAUUCAUCUGAUAGAAAUAUGGCUGCAGCAAAGCACAGGACUGAAUCAAGGCAGCUAAGUUCUUUACUGACCCUGCCAGUAACGACUAACGAGCUACAUGACUUUGGCAGAUUCAAUUCAAUUCUGUGGUCCCAGUUUUCUCAUCUAUGAACUACAGAGGGAAGGGUGAUCUUUUUCAGCUCUGAGUCUCUCUAAUUCCAGUGGUAGCACAUUUUGGUACACCGGAAAUUACCAGUUCCACCCAUUCCUGAGUUCACAGAGAGUUAAAGUUACAGAUCAAAUUCCCCGUGGAAACAACCAUCACAAUAACACUGUGGAAGAUGUGCUAGGUGCUGAGGAUGGAAAAGUAAAUAUAUUUUUUUAGGCAUUUACGAAGACAAAUUGGACACAUUGGUAUUCAUCACAUAGAUUUAAUCAGCACCAGCCCUGGGAAAAAUUGUUAUAUAGAGGAUUCUUUUCUUCUGGGACCUUUCCUUCCUCUUAGCAACCCUCCACAUCAUCUGAGUCCCAGUGUCCCAAGCCCAAGGCUCCAGACUAACUGCCAUCACCCCUCACUUGCCACUGUAGGACCCACUCCUAGUUACCCUGCUUACUUUUACUGUCAUCUUCUGGAAUUCAUGCCCUGCCUUUAGUAACAUUUGAUGCUUACCAUAGGUGCUCAAUAAAUGUGUUUUGAAUGGAUAAACUUAAGCAUGAACGGAUUAACUAUUUAAUCAGUAACUCAAAAGGUGAGAAUCCUGGAUGAGAUAAGAAGAGAGAAUGACAGUGCAGCAGUCUCAUAGAGGGAGAGACAGGGGAAUAUUAACAACAGGCGGAACCUUCACUGUGCCCUUCAAAUUACUGAUAAAUUACUGAAUUUAUCCUUCUUUAAACAAAAAUAAGUGAUAAAAAGAUAAUACAGUCAAUACAAACAAAAACGUUAGUGAAUUUAAUGGCAUGGUGAACAAAGAGUGAGUAAAGGAGAGACACACAGGAGGAAAGACUGGGUUUUUUUCCUAACACACAUACGAUCCAGCAAUUCCACUUCUUAUUGUAUACCCAAAAGAAUCAAAAGCAAGGACUCAACAGAUAUUUGUAUACCAAUGUUCAUAGCAGCAUUAGUCAUCAUAACCAAAAGGCAGAAACAACCCAAAUGGCCAACAAAAUGUAGUAUAGACACACAAUGGAAUAUUAUUCAACCUUAAACGGAAUGAAAUUCUCAUACGUUCUGUGACAUGGGUGAAUCUUGAAAAUACUAUGCUAAGUUAAAUAAGUUAGGCCCAAAGAACAAAUCUUGUAUGAUUCUACUUAUAUGAGGUACCUAGAGUAGUCAAAUUCAUGGAGACAGAAAGAAGAAUAGUGGUUACCAGAUGCUGGAGGGAGAGGGGAACAGAGAGAUUUUGUUUAAUGGGUACAGAGUUUCAGUCUGGGAUGAUAAAAACCUUCUAGAGAUGGAUGGUGGUGAGGUGAUGGUUACACAACAAUGUAAAUGUACUUAGUGCUACAGAUCUGUACCCUUAAAAAUGGUAAAUUUUAUUUUAUGUAUAUUUUAUCACAAUCCCCCAAAAAAUCUCCGGAGAAGAAUAUUCUUCGGCAUAACUGAUAUCAAUAUCAAACAGCUUCUUUGAGGAGAAAACUGUUCCUCAAAUCUAAUCAAAACCCUUCAGCUGCAUGUCUUCUUAUUUCUUUUUGUUGCUUCUGUUGUUGAACCAAGGAAGGCUACUUUCACCAUCGCAGAAACAUGUACUAAGGAUGUGCUCCCUUUCUGGUUGAUGCCACCGGCCCUCUUGGAAGUGGUGCCUUUUGAGUUGCUUUGUUCCCAGUGGGAUGGGUUUUAACAGGUCUGUCUUCUCUGCCCCUUACUCAAUCUUCAUGUGAGAGGCAGCAUAAUUUGCAGUCUGUGUAGCCAGGGAAUGGAGUAAAGGCGAGUCAGGUUCGUGGAAACCAACCCAUAACUUCAGCUUCAGGAAAAAAAGUUGGAUGGUGCAGCAAGAAGUAAAUAUAUGUUGGCUGCAUACAAAGAAUACUAAAUCUAUUAAUUCUGCUAACUGUGCAAUCUCUGAAAAAGUAAAGAAAUGUGAAUCUUUUCAGGGAUAACAAAAAAGUAAAUAAAUUUUAUUUAUCUGGAAACUUAAGAUUGCUGUUUCAUUUUGCCCCAUUCAUGCAUUUUAUUUGCCUAAAUAUAUCUUGUCUCUCACUCUUCCCCUUCACCGUCACUGUCACUGCCCAACCAGUUCUGGCCCGAACACCUUCAAGAGCCUCCUGACUGGUCUCCUGACUUCUAGACUUGGGUACCACUUUCCCUGUGCCAUCUCACUUCCCCUGCCCAUCCCUUCUCUACAUUGCUGCCAGGAUCAUCUUUCCAAAGACCUUAAGAUCUUCUAAUGAUGCACAAUCAUUGUCAGGAUAAAAUCCAAACUCCUCACCAAACAUACCUUUCCAGCUUCAUCUUGAGCUAUUUCCCAGCACACACCCCAUGCACAAGCCUUCUCAAAUUCUGUGUUUGCAGUUUCCAUAACAGGCCAGGCUCUUCUUAUCAUCUUGCUUGCUUCUUCUGCCUAGAAAACACAGGCACACAUAUACUUGUGCACACACACAAACGCAUGCUCACCUUCUCCAUCUGCCUAAUUCCUACUCCCACCUCAAGAUUAGGUCAAAGGUCACAAUCAUCCCUACCCCCUCUCACUUCCUUCCCAGGGGCCCACACUCUCCUUUAUUCCCCUCUCCCAAGUCUUCUAGCUAGACUUGAUGCUUCCCUUUUUCACAGCACCCUGUAGGUGUUCUAAUACAUAUUUUAUCAUGAGCUAUUUGAGAGCAAGGACUGCAUCUUUGAUCUCUGUAUCCCCAGCACCCGCACAAAAGUCUUAGCAGAUAUUUGGGGUUCAACGAGGGGAUAAAGUGCAAAGGGCACAGGGAAAGUGAUAAAGGAGUUCCAAGAAGGUUGAGUCAAGGAAGGCUUCAUAAAAAAAAAGUGG